rnacentral:rRNA from 1 species
CCUACGGGAGGCUGCAGUAGGGAAUCUUGCACAAUGGGCGCAAGCCUGAUGCAGCCAUGCCGCGUGUGUGAAGAAGGCCUUCGGGUUGUAAAGCACUUUCAGCGGGAAGGAAGGCGGUGAGGUUAAUAACCUCAUCGAUUGACGUUACCCGCAGAAGAAGCACCGGCUAACUCCGUGCCAGCAGCCGCGGUAAUACGGAGGGUGCAAGCGUUAAUCGGAAUUACUGGGCGUAAAGCGCACGCAGGCGGUCUGUCAAGUCGGAUGUGAAAUCCCCGGGCUCAACCUGGGAACUGCAUUCGAAACUGGCAGGCUAGAGUCUUGUAGAGGGGGGUAGAAUUCCAGGUGUAGCGGUGAAAUGCGUAGAGAUCUGGAGGAAUACCGGUGGCGAAGGCGGCCCCCUGGACAAAGACUGACGCUCAGGUGCGAAAGCGUGGGGAGCAAACAGGAUUAGAUACCCGAGUAGUC